rnacentral:rRNA from 1 species
CACGUAGGCGGCUAUGUAAGUUGGGGGUGAAAUCCCGGGGCUCAACUCCGGAACUGCCUUCAAAACUACAUAGCUAGAGGAUGUGAGAGGAGAGUGGAAUUCCGAGUGUAGAGGUGAAAUUCGUAGAUAUUCGGAAGAACACCAGUGGCGAAGGCGACUCUCUGGCACAUUUCUGACGCUGAGGUGCGAAAGCGUGGGGAGCAAACA